rnacentral:rRNA from 1 species
GUCGAACGGCAGCACGGACUUCGGUCUGGUGGCGAGUGGCGAACGGGUGAGUAAUGUAUCGGAACGUGCCUAGUAGCGGGGGAUAACUACGCGAAAGCGUAGCUAAUACCGCAUACGCCCUACGGGGGAAAGCAGGGGAUCGCAAGACCUUGCACUAUUAGAGCGGCCGAUAUCGGAUUAGCUAGUUGGUGGGGUAACGGCUCACCAAGGCGACGAUCCGUAGCUGGUUUGAGAGGACGACCAGCCACACUGGGACUGAGACACGGCCCAGACUCCUACGGGAGGCAGCAGUGGGGAAUUUUGGACAAUGGGGGAAACCCUGAUCCAGCCAUCCCGCGUGUGCGAUGAAGGCCUUCGGGUUGUAAAGCACUUUUGGCAGGAAAGAAACGUCAUGGGCUAAUACCCCGUGAAACUGACGGUACCUGCAGAAUAAGCACCGGCUAACUACGUGCCAGCAGCCGCGGUAAUACGUAGGGUGCAAGCGUUAAUCGGAAUUACUGGGCGUAAAGCGUGCGCAGGCGGUUCGGAAAGAAAGAUGUGAAAUCCCAGAGCUUAACUUUGGAACUGCAUUUUUAACUACCGAGCUAGAGUGUGUCAGAGGGAGGUGGAAUUCCGCGUGUAGCAGUGAAAUGCGUAGAUAUGCGGAGGA